AUUGAACGCUGGCGGCAGGCCUAACACAUGCAAGUCGAACGAGUGGCGGACGGGUGAGUAAUGUCUGGGAAACUGCCUGAUGGAGGGGGAUAACUACUGGAAACGGUAGCUAAUACCGCAUACCAUCGGAUGUGCCCAGAUGGGAUUAGCUAGUAGGUGGGGUAACGGCUCACCUGGGCGACGAUCCCUAGCUGGUCUGAGAGGAUGACCAGCCAAACUGGAACGGGGACACGGGCCAGACUCCUACGGGAGGCAGCGGGGGGGAAUAUUGCACAAGGGGCGCAAGCCUGAAGCAGCCAGGCCGCGUGGAUGAAGAAGGCCUUCGGGUUGUAAAGUACUUUCAGCGGGGAGGCGUUACCCGCAGAAGAAGCACCGGCUAACUCCGUGCCAGCAGCCGCGGUAAUU
rnacentral:rRNA from 1 species